rnacentral:rRNA from 1 species
CGUGUAGGCGGCUGAGUAAGUCUGCUCUGAAAGCCCGGGGCUCAACCCCGGGAGGCGGGUGGAUACUGCUCAGCUCGAGUCCGGAAGAGGAGUGUGGAAUUCCUGGUGUAGCGGUGAAAUGCGCAGAUAUCAGGAGGAACACCAAUGGCGAAGGCAGCACUCUGGGACGGUACUGACGCUGAGACGCGAAAGCGUGGGGAGCAAACA